AUACGGAGGGUGCAAGCGUUGUUCGGAAUUACUGGGCGUAAAGCGCGCGUAGGCGGAUUGGUCAGUUGGGGGUGAAAUCCCAGGGCUUAACCCUGGAACUGCCUCCAAUACUGUCAGUCUUGAGUUCGGGAGAGGUGAGUGGAAUUCCUAGUGUAGAGGUGAAAUUCGUAGAUAUUAGGAAGAACACCAGUGGCGAAGGCGGCUCACUGGCCCGAUACUGACGCUGAGGCGCGAAAGCGUGGGGAGCAAACAGGAUUAGAAACCCUAGUAGUCC
rnacentral:rRNA from 1 species